GUGUCAGCAGCCGCGGUAAGACGAACCGAGCGAACGUUGUUCGGAAUCACUGGGCUUAAAGGGCGCGUAGGCGGGCUGUCAAGUCUGGGGUGAAAUCCCGCGGCUCAACCGUGGAACUGCCUCAGAUACUGACGGCCUCGAGGAAGGUAGGGGCGAGCGGAACGGGUGGUGGAGCGGUGAAAUGCGUUGAUAUCACUCGGAACUCCGGUGGCGAAAGCGGCUCGCUGGGCCUUUUCUGACGCUGAUGCGCGAAAGCUAGGGGAGCAAACGGGAUUAGAUACCCCAGUAGUCC
rnacentral:rRNA from 1 species